CGAGCACUCUAGACGAACUGCCGUUGACAAAACGGAGGAAGGUGGGAUGACGUCAAAUCAUCAUGCCCCUUAUGUUCUGGGCUACACACGUGCUACAAUGGCCGGUACAGACGGACGCAAAGCCGCGAGGUGGAGCAAAUCCUAAAAAGCCGGUCUCAGCUCGGAUUGCAGGCUGCAACUCGCCUGCAUGAAGCCGGAAUCGCUAGUAAUCGCGGAUCAGCAUGCCGCGGUGAAUACGUUCCCGGGCCUU
rnacentral:rRNA from 1 species